rnacentral:rRNA from 1 species
AGAGUUUGAUCAUGGCUCAGGAUGAACGCUAGCUACAGGCUUAACACAUGCAAGUCGAGGGGCAGCAUGACGAUAGCUUGCUAUUGUUGAUGGCGACCGGCGCACGGGUGAGUAACGCGUAUCCAACCUUCCCGUUGCUAGGGGAUAACCUUGCGAAAGUAAGACUAAUACCCUAUGAAGUUCUUCGCAGGCAUCUAAAGAGAACGAAAGAUUUAUCGGCAACGGAUGGGGAUGCGUCUGAUUAGGUUGUUGGCGGGGUAACGGCCCACCAAGCCCACGAUCAGUAGGGGUUCUGAGAGGAAGGUCCCCCACAUUGGAACUGAGACACGGUCCAAACUCCUACGGGAGGCAGCAGUGAGGAAUAUUGGUCAAUGGACGGAAGUCUGAACCAGCCAAGUAGCGUGCAGGAAGACGGCCCUAUGGGUUGUAAACUGCUUUUAUGUGGGAAUAAAGUGAGGGACGUGUCCCUUUUUGUAGGUACCACAUGAAUAAGGACCGGCUAAUUCCGUGCCAGCAGCCGCGGUAAUACGGAAGGUCCGGGCGUUAUCCGGAUUUAUUGGGUUUAAAGGGAGCGUAGGCCGUCUUUUAAGCGUGUUGUGAAAUACUGUCGCUCAACGACAGAGGUGCAGCGCGAACUGGGAGACUUGAGUGCGCGGAAUGCAGGCGGAAUCCGCCGUGUAGCGGUGAAAUGCUUAGAUAUGACGAAGAACUCCGAUUGCGAAGGCAGCUUGCAGUAGCGUAACUGACGCUGAAGCUCGAAAGUGCGGGUAUCGAACAGGAUUAGAUACCCUGGUAGUCCGCACGGUAAACGAUGGAUGCUCGCUGUGUGCCCCUGGGUACGCGGCCAAGCGGAAGUCGUUAAGCAUCCCACCUGGGGAGUA